GGAGUGUCUAAAACAGCUACAGUGUACCCAUAUACAUUAAAAAAGUAAAUCUUUUAAAAAAAGAUUUUUCCCUUCCAGUUUUAUUAAGUUGGCAAAUAUUUAUAAAGUGCUUAUGAUGUGCUGGUCAGAUCGAGUGAAGAUUCCCACCUGUCUAAAAUCCAAAGCAAGGGUUUGGGGAUUUAGCUCAGUGGUAGAACUUGCUAGCAAGACCCUGGGUUCAGUCCUCAGCUCCGUGGUGGUAGUGGGGGCGGGGAGAUAAAAUAACUAAAGUCCAAAACAGAAUCAAAGGCCUGCCUCUGGCGAAUUAAGACCAGCCCUCUGGAGGCCUCAGAUUAGCAGCAGCCCCUUUACCUGGCAACCUCAGGUAAAGGCCCCUGGAGGCUGCCACAGAGCAGAAAAUAAAAGUGCCUGUUCUUCUAGCAGUAUCUCUCUUUCUGGAUCAACUUAAUGAGCAUAAGGACCAGAGCAGGAUUUGUUCUUGCAUCCAAAGUCCAUAGCACAGCCAGAGAAACUACAUUCUGACAGAGAAUUUAUCUAGAAACCCGCCCCUGGGUAAAGCACAUCUCAGGAGAUAUCCAUAUGGCUGCCGUUCUCUUCCCAGGGUAAAAGGAUGCACCAACCAAAGCAGGAUGAAAACAGUGAGUAAGAGGAGGAAUGGGUAUCUUUGUCCUGAGGGAAGCCAACGUCUCUGGAGUGAUCAUCUGCGAAGUUCUCCUACUGCAUCACAAGUGAGUGACAGGGGUGCCAAAAGCCCAGGGAUUGAAGUAGGUGGCAGUGCCAAAGUCUGUAUGAGCCCACAGCCUUUGUCGGGAGAACUGGCCACAGGCUUCUCAGCAUUGAAUUUGAACCAGCCAAUGGUAUCCCAAUGGCUGAAACAGGAAGCCAGAUAAACAGUGUGUUAUCAAGGGGGGAUCCAGCACUUCCCUUAAGCCGGCGCCAGCUGCGCUCUCCGACCGACCGUCCUAACAAAGUCCCAUUGAGUCACCAGCUGAUUUUCCUGUGUUCAGCUCUGGGGGACAAGGGACUCUCUUUGCUGGAUGGACAUUACUCUAGUGCACUGCCCGAGCCACUCACCACUCAGGUCCGCCCCAGUUCCUUCCUUCCCUUUUUGCCAUCAGCAGACUUGGCCCACUCUCUAUCCUAUGGCCAGUUCUGGUAGACUCUGAAGAUUAAAAGGGACCACAAAAGCCCAGGCACCGCGCUCGCACCCUCAGGAGGACCCGCCACCAUCACUUCCAGGAGAGGUCCUCCAGCCCAGGUCCUCUAACUACCUCAGUUGUUCCAGAGAAAGGUGCAGAUGGAUCGACGAAGAGUCCUAACCUGCUUCUGGAGCCGCCCAUCCAUUUCCGUCCACUUUGGGACCCUGCAAGGGUCAUGCUGUCUGAUCUGGAACCCUUGGGUGAGAGGUAACAGGAAGUCCGGGAAGUUAUCUAGCAAAUAGUAGAGGUUCAACUGAACCUUGCAGAGAAGUGGGAGGAAGAAGAGAGGAGAAAUUACAAGAUGGUACCCACAUCCUUGUGCAACUAUCUUCAAUCUUGAGAUGGGGCUGAGCUUAAGGCGCUUGCCUCCUGACUUGGGGCCUUCCAGACUGCAGCUGAGGCUGUGCGUGACACAGAACACCUGCCACCAGGGACUCAGGACCUGAGGAUCUUACCCUCUCCCAGCUUCAGCCAACAAUCAGGAAGACUGAUUUAUUUUCAAGGUGCUGGGGUUGGUGGUUGGGAGAGAAAGCAAAAUGCUCUCUCCCUGGUCUGGGAACAGUCAGGAUUAGAGCUCCAGGGUCUUGCCUGAGGCCCCACCUAGACACUCAGAGUCAUAGGAUAAGGGGAAGUAGGCAGUAGACAGGAUCUUUCUCAGGUAGCCAGGGAAAUGACUUUAAUAUGACUUUUGUCCGCGAAUGCACAUUGUCCUUUGGAGGGAUGAGACAGCUGCAGAAUUAAUACCUCCCACAAGCCCCUUGCUCUGUGUGUAAUGGCUAAAGGUGUGGGCUUUGAAGGCGCAGAGUUCAAGUCUGCUGCCCCCGGGUUUAACAAGUUCUUUUAUCUCUGGCUACCUCAGUUUCCUACAAGAACGGUAUGUCUUGUCUUCUAAUAGUUCUGAAAGGAUUAAAGGAGGUAGUGCAGGUGACGUGCUUGUGCCUGGCGUUAGUACAUCGUCAAUAAACAGAGUUUUAAGAGACUUCAUUUAACUUGACACUCGUCGGUUGGAAUUCUUGUACUUCUCAGAAUACCCCCAGCCUGCGUACGGGUGCCUUGUUUUAAGAAGAUGCCAUUUUGUAUGGGUGACACAGACCUGUACUCUCAGUACUCAGGAGGCUAAGGCAAAGGGAUCAUAAGUUUGAAGCCACCUUGGAUUACACUGACUCUCUUUCCCCGGUGCUCACUGACAAGGGCUGCUGAGGUUUCUUGGCCCUGCAGUCCCAAGGACAAAAGACAGAAGUCGUGCAAAUGGGCAUCAGAAACCCAACUGCCCACUGACAUUGAGAUCGUGCAUGGGGCCCUUGCGGCCACACUGGUAAUGUCAACAUGACUUCACUCCUUGGAUGCUUCUCAGAGUGGAAAGGAAGGCCAACACAAUACAUUUGUGAGAUUUCAGUCUUAUAUUUAGAUCAAUAUUUCUCUCCGGUGAUCCCCCCUCCCCCAACACUACUAUGUUCCAAAUGCUUCAAGCACACAUCUCCAACAGUGAACUUGAGUUUGUGGGUAAACACAGGAGGAUGCCUAUAGGUUAUGAAAGAGAAAUAAGGGACCCGGUCUUGUUGGGGUGACAGGCAGAGUGUCCGAAAGGCUACCAAGACGGGGCCAUAGGUGAGAGAGAAACAGCCAGCAGCCAGUAUGGUCAGAGUCCUGUUUGGAGAAGAGGCAGAGUCCUACCCAUAAGUGGCCUCUGCCAAGUGCCUACCUUGAGUGGUUUUUGUCUGAACACCGAUGAUUCAGUUGCUCUGAAUCAAAUGGAUUUUCCUUAAAUAUGAAAAUCAAUGAGAGGCAAAGACAAGGGCUGCAGAUGGGGUCAGAUGGAAGGAGCCAGAAGGAUGCCGGGGAGGGGGGGCAGAUUGGUUGGUGAAGGGUAGGAGAGUGAAUCAGGUUCUCCUGGGGGACCUAGGCAUGGCCACGGUUUCCAUAAUGGAGAAGGUGGCUUCCAGAACUGCUGACCCCACUAAGGCAUGUCCCUUCUCUGUCCUCUGCUGCUCAGCACCGUCCUGCCUCAGGGCAGUUUAUUAACAAGAGGAUUAAUGUCAAUGUGACAAACAGGGCUUUAAAAAUCAGCCCAGGGAGCUUGUGGUCAGCCCAUUGAGUCAGACCUGACCUAAGAUGGGAACAUUGGAAGCUCCGGAAAGCACAGUAAAAAAAAUUUUCUGCCA
rnacentral:sRNA from 1 species